AUGGGGAGCAAGGAAGAAAAAAGAAAAGCCAGCUGGGUUUCCUUGGAAGUAAUAACAAGGCCCUAGUACAUGGGAGGCCAAGGUUUCAGAGACAUCAAACUUUCUAACCUAGCUCUAUUAGCGAGACAGGACUGGCAUAUACUCCAGGAACCAAACUCUCUGAGUGCUAGAAUUCUAAAGUUAAAGCAUUUCUCAAAUAUAGAGUUCCUGCAAUCUAAAUUGGGCAGCUCACCGUCACAGGUUUGGCAUAUAACUUUUGAAGACAGGGGCAUUCUUACUCAUGGGUUAACUCGUAGAGUUGGCAAUGGCCAAACGAAACACAUAUGGCGUGAAAGCUGGUUGCCUCGGGAUUUCAACAUGAGACCCAUCACAAACCUAACAGGCAGCCCGUCUCAAAUGGCGAGCGAGCUAAUAUUACAUAAUGAGGCAAACUUGAAUCAUGGAGUAGUCAGGAACACAUUCAUAGCCUUCAACGCCGAGGCAAUUCUUGUUAUACCAUUAUGCACCAGACCGGUUGACGACUUUUGGACAUGGAGUCACGACCCUAAAGGUGUUUUUUCCGUUAGAUCAGCUUAUCAUAUGCUGGUCAGAAUGAAGAUCCGGCGUGAGACGUGGCUAGAGGGCCAAGGAGAUUCGUCCAAUGCUGAAACGGAGCAAAAAAAAUCUUGGUGUAAUAUGUGGAAGGAUUAA
rnacentral:rRNA from 1 species